rnacentral:lncRNA from 1 species
CGUCGAAAUCUUCUUUAUUGUAAGAAAAUCUUGAUCAUCAUUCAAACAAUGCUUGCUAUCUUAAGUGGACAAGGGAAUUUAGUGUCUAGCAAAGGAAUCAAGCUUGGGCUUUAUUUCUCUAGCUCUAUAUACGCAUAGGACAAGGGUAAAGUAUAUUGACAAUCCCUAAACUUGAGAGAAGGUGCCAUUCAUAUCCUAAUUUUUCAUUUUUUUUAUUUUUGAGUCCCUAAACUUGUCAUGGGAUCUGGUAUUAGUUCAAAUUGGUUUCGAUCUACUGCAUAUGCUGACAUGGCAUGCAAACUAAUGUUAACAUGAAUCUAACAUGGUGGGUCUAGUUUCUAAACUUGCAUGGCGGCACCAUCUAGGUCUAAAACUUCCAAAAUUAUACAUAUGUAAGUCCCCCAAACUUGCUAAAUAGGCCACUCAAGGUACCAAAAAUCAAAAGAUGGUUCCAUCU